ACGGGCGCUAUGUCAUGCAAUCGACACGAUCGGCGGUUACACAAAUCCCAUCUGGCCAUUGACCACGGAUGUACUGGCAAUGGCACGAAGGCGACGAAAGGUCGGGUUCAGCCCGGCCUUUUUUGUU
rnacentral:sRNA from 1 species